UUUCAGUACUGCUAUAUAUCUUCGUUCAGUUUUCAACGAUGAUGAAGAGCAAUGCAUUUUUGUUGUUUAUAAUUUUUCUCAAAUAAAAAUAAACUUUUCCAACGAUUAAAUUCA
ensembl:ncRNA ZK381.46 ncRNA